ACACCCUCUCUCCAGCGGCAGCCUAACCCACCAAGGGGAGAUGUUAAGCCCCACAACUAUGCAGAUGGGACCGUAGUCUCUGCACUUGCAGCACCAGGGGUAGGGACGGUCGGUCCUGUCCCCCAGCCACAGAGUAGUGUAUCCAGAGGGGAGACAGUAGGUCUCCCCCUCCCACAACCAGGCUACUUCAGUGGUAGCGCUGGCACCCGGGUAGAGUACCGCUGGUCUCUGCCCACUCAGCAACCCACCAAGGCAGUCUACCAGCCCCCCGCACAGCUGUGGUGAGGCACCUGGACAUGGAC